rnacentral:rRNA from 1 species
AUUGAACGCUGGCGGCAGGCCUAACACAUGCAAGUCGAACGGUAACAGGAAGCAGCUUGCUGCUUUGCUGACGAGUGGCGGACGGGUGAGUAAUGUCUGGGAAACGGCCUGAUGGAGGGGGAUAACUACUGGAAACGGUAGCUAAUACCGCAUAACGUCGCAAGACCAAAGAGGGGGACCUUCGGGCCUCUUGCCAUCGGAUGUGCCCAGAUGGGAUUAGCUAGUAGGUGGGGUAACGGCUCACCUAGGCGCCGAUCCCUAGCUGGUCUGAGAGGAUGACCAGCCACACUGGAACUGAGACACGGUCCAGACUCCUACGGGAGGCAGCAGUGGGGAAUAUUGCACAAUGGGCGCAAGCCUGAUGCAGCCAUGCCGCGUGUAUGAAGAAGGCCUUCGGGUUGUAAAGUACUUUCAGCGGGGAGGAAGGGAGUAAAGUUAAUACCUUUGCUCAUUGACGUUACCCGCAGAAGAAGCACCGGCUAACUCCGUG